UACUUUUUUCAGAUUGGUUUCCUAGCAUCCACAAGAGUAAUUAAACUCUUGAAAAGUUGGCAUCAACUAAUUGUAAGCUUCAGUAUUAUUCUCACUGCAAAGUACGAAACACAAAUUGCAAAGUGAAUCUGAGCGGUCAAUGUUUAGAGGAGAAAAUGUAUAGUGGGUGUUUGUCUUGUCAAAUUCAGUAAGAUGAGCAUCUAGUUUUUUCUACCCCUUUAUUUUUUGAAGACAGGCAGGGGAUGGGACUUUUAUUAAUUAGAGCAGAAAUUUGCUUUUGUAAGCUCCACUACAUGGCAAGAAGCCAAGAACUGUCAGCACAUACAACUUCACCUAACGUUUAAAAUGCUUGAGAAGCAAAGGAAGUGCAAGAUUCUCUUUCGGACCAUCACAUUUAGGAUAGAAGCAUGGAAAAAAAAUAGCGGCUAGCUUGUUUGUUCGCACUGCUAACUGCUUACACAUUGCAAUAGAUGAGUGGCCAGUGUGAUUAGAUGAAAUAUGCUAUCACAAUAUGAAUGGCCACAGAGAAGCAGAUCAUGCUCAUAUCUUGGUCUAGUGGUUAUACCCAAAGAAAUCCUAAAAUUAGUUUAAUGUAUACCCACCAACAAUCCAGAGAACUCCAUCUCUAACACCAGCUUGCAAAAAUGAAAUUUUGUUGACGUCAUUUGCAGAAUUGGAAUAGAAGAUAGGUACGUUCAUAAAUUAAAGUUGCUAGAUGCCAGGUAGCUUGGCAUUUUGUCGAACACCUUGCCGGCACUUCAGCCUUGGAGGGAUGGCGCAGGCAUACGAGCCUGUGGCUGGAUGAGCUGCUGCUCCGGCACCGUGUCGACUUGUAGCCGUGCGAGCUGCUCGUCCAGUUCAUCUUCCGUCACCGUAUUGUAGGAGCUCUUGCUUGGUGCCGCCGUCGCAUCGAUCUGCAGCUCGCGUGGCUCUCCAUGGGUCGUGGCCACAAUGAUGGAGAGGCAGGGGUGACCUGGGAGGCAGAGCGGCACACUGACAUCCCAUCCGUGAGACGAGAUCCAGAGAGAGGACGGCUCGAGCCUCCGCGACCACCAUCACCCCGUCAUGGCUAAGGGGCUAAGGGGAUGUUUGUUUCUUUAGCACCUUCUAAAAUU
rnacentral:lncRNA from 1 species